ACCAAAACCACAACCAUGUCACUGCGAGACUGCCAGGUAUGCGCACCCCCUCGUCUGGAUCCUCUUGGGUCCAGGAGUUGGCCCAGCGCCGAGCAGUCGGGAGCAAACCUGCAGGCAUGGAAGGAUGCCGGUCUGCCACUCUCAACCACAAGCAAUGAAGCCUGCAAGCUGUUUGAUGCCACCUUGACCCAGUAUGUCAAAUGGACCAAUGACAAGAGUCUUGGUGGCAUCGAGGGCUGCCUGUCAAAGCUCAAGGCAGCAGACCCAACCUUUGCCAUGGGUCACGCCAUCGCUAACGGCCUUGUGCUCAUUGGCACCGGAAGCUCCGUGAAGCUGGACAGAGACCUGGACUUGGCUGUGAAGACCAUGGUGGAGGUUUCCCAAAGCCAGGCUCUGACACCUCGGGAGCAACUGCAUGUGUCCGCGGUGGAGAUGUUUGCCAAGGGGAACUUCCCCAAAGCUUGUGACCUCUGGGAACAGAUCCUCCGGGACCACCCAACAGACAUGUUGGCCCUGAAGUUUUCCCACGAUGCCUACUUUUACCUGGGCUACCAGGAGCAGAUGCGAGAUUCUGUGGCUCGAGUUUACCCCUUUUGGACACGUGAUACCCCCCUUAGCAGCUAUGUGAAAGGCAUCUACUCUUUUGGGCUGAUGGAAACCAACCUCUACGACCAGGCACAAAAGCUUGCCAAAGAGGCUUUAGCUAUUGAGCCGACGGAUGCGUGGUCAGUGCACACUGUUGCCCAUAUCCAUGAGAUGAGAGCAGAGGUCAAAGAUGGGCUGGAGUUUAUGCAGCACACCGAAGGCCACUGGAAGGACUCUGACAUGCUCGCUUGUCAUAAUUAUUGGCACUGGGCCCUGUACCUGAUUGAAAAGGGAGAAUAUGAGGCUGCACUAACCAUCUAUGACAGCCAUAUCCUCCCCAGCCUUCAGGCCAGUGGUGCCAUGCUGGAUGUGGUGGACAGCUGCUCCAUGCUCUACCGUCUCCAGAUGGAAGGGGUGUCCCUUGGCCAGCGGUGGCAGGCUGUCCUACCAGUGACUAAGAAGCAUACCCAGGACCACGUCCUUCUGUUCAAUGACGCUCACUUCCUGAUGGCCUCUCUGGGUGCCCGGGACCUCCAGACCACACAGGAGCUGCUGACCACCCUGAAGGAGGCCAGCGAGUCCCCAGGAGAGAACUGCCAGCACCGGUUGGCACAAGAUGUGGGGCUGCCCCUGUGCCAGGCCCUUGUGGAGGCUGAGAACGGGAACCCUGACCGAGUCCUAGAACUUCUCUUGCCAAUCCGCUACCGAAUCGUCCAGAUUGGGGGCAGCAACGCCCAGAGAGACGUCUUCAACCAGCUGUUGAUUCAUGCGGCCAUCACCUGCACUUCCAGCGUCCAUAAGAAUGUGGCCCGGUGAGCACUGCCCUUCCUACGGUCAGCCAGGCGUGGGUUAGUUCCCUACACAGGAUCUCAGCGGCAUGGGAGCCUUCUGAUGGAACGUGAUGCCUUGAAACCCAACUCACCCCUGACUGAGCGGCUCAUCCGCAAGGCAGCUGCUGUCCAUCUUAUGCAAUGACCCAGGCCCCGGUCCUUGGCCUACAGCUCAGUGCUAACCUCCUGGCAUUAGGUUGACUGUACGGUUGGGCUAGGGUUAGGAAAUAGCUGGGCCUGCUCGUCAGAGAAUAAGGUAGAAUUCUCCAAAUCAGUCUUUGGUGGAAAUAGGGGACAGAAGUUAAUUUUGAGUGAUAUUCAGAAUUCCUCUCAGGGUCAACAUGCAUUUUUAAGCCUCCAGAACCAAAGCAAUGCUAUUAUUUGCAGGUGCCUUGAACAUUGUACUUUCUUGUACUGAGGCUGGCAGGCAGGGCAGAGCUGUGGCCAGCUCAGCUGGGAGGUAUCCAAGCGCCUCCCACACACCUGGCACAGUGAAACUUUUCAUUGGUGUCCCUUCUCUUUUACACAGGGCCUGCUGUCCCAUUUCCCUGGGGAGGAUUUCAUUGAGCUGCCCGGGGUCCCAGCUAGCAGAGGCUUUUCCUUUUGGGAGGGGGUAGGGUUGGGGGAGGGUGUCGGGGUCCGAUGUCCCAACAUUAACUACUUUUCCCUCUCUGGACCAGCGUGGAGGAGACGGGAAUAAAGACACAACUCACAUGGUUUCAUUGGGUGGGAGAUUCUUUCUCAGUGGUCUCUCAUGAAAUCCUGAGUUCACAUCCUGAAGAAUUCCUCCGUUUAGUCUCCAAACAGUCUUAAUACCAUAACUUAACUGAGGGUGAAAUCCAUUAGCAUUCUGUCUCCUAGGUAACCAGGUGAAUGGCCUUUCGUCAUGUCCACAACUAUCUGUCUGCUCUGUGUGCUACUACAAAGAAAGGAGCAAAACACCCUGACCUUUUGUUAGGUUAGCGCCAGCCUGCCUGGCAGGAUACGUGACCCAUCUCAGGUGUGGCCUAUGGCUUGAUGGCUUGGCUGCCAUGCCAUAGAGAAAUAUGGGCCUCUGCUUCAACCUUGGUUGUCAGCCCCAGACUACUGCACCUGCCACCAUCCCCAGAGAUGAAGGGAAGGGUGGCUUCUGCCUCCCCGAGGGGAUCUAGUGGUGACAACUGGAGCUUCUCUUUAAAUUGCACAUGGAAGUGGAGCUGGAGGGAUGUGCCUUCCUUGGCCAACCUCUGAUUCUGCUUGUAUGAGUGGGUCUCGAACUCACAGAGAUCCACCUGCCUCUGCCUCCCGAGUGCUGGGAUUAAAGGCGUGCGCCACCACCACCCGGCAGCCUGCCCCUGCUAUUACACCACUUUUUGCUAUGAUUUCCUCUCUCUCUGGUCAGGAAGUGUGAACUCUUUAUCAUCCAGCCACUCAGUGGCCUCCACUGAAUACCUGCCUGUAAAAGUGGGUGUAUAGGCUUUAAUGAAGGAGGGCAUGAAUCUACCAGGACAAAACACUGAUUUAAAGUUUGUGUGUGUGUGUGUGUGUGUGUGUGUGUGUGUAGAUGGCUCCAUGGUUAAGAGCACUUGCUGAUCUUCUAGAGGACCAGAGUUCAGUUCCCAGCAUCCACGUGGCAGCUCACAAUUGCCUGAAGCUCUAGCCUCAGGGGAUGAGACACCCUCUUCUGCCCUGUGUAGGCACCUGCAUACAUACAUGUACAUGAUCACACAUCAACAAAGGAAUAAAAGUAUAUUUUAAAAGC